ACUGUUCUUCUGGGUCACCAAACUUUAUCAAUAUGUUCUGGGCUCUUUUUCUUAGUCUCUUGGUAGUGUGGUGCGAAGGAGUAACCUCACAAAGUGUGGUGUCUCAACCUCCAUCAGCCUCAGUGAACCCAGGAAACACAGUGAAAUUGGCCUGCAUCUUGAGCAAUGGAGUCAACAUUGGCCGCUACAGAAUAUACUGGUUGCAGCAGAAGCCUCCAAACUCUCCACGUUUUCUCUUGCACUUCUACACAGAUUCUGACAAGGGCCAAGGUUCUGGAGUUCCUUCUCGGUUCUCCGGUUCUAAGGAGGCCUCCACCAAUGCCGGUUAUUUAACCAUUUCUGGAGUUCUGGAUGAAGACGAGGCUGUUUAUUACUGUGCUACGUGGUACAGCGGUGCAGCCACCAACUGUACAUCACUGACAGAUGUUCGGAUCACAAAGAGGGAGAACUUCACUCUUUCCCCACCUGAGGACAGUUGGACAGAAAAUGCAAAGUCAUGUGGUAAGAAAAACAGUUCUCUGUGGUUUCCGGAAAUGCCAGAUGCAUCUGAGGAACGUUUGUUGCUGAAGGAUUACCAGAUGCCUUCAGAAGUGGAGAUGGGAAUAGUGAAUCUUCUUGCAUACGGAUUGGGCUUGAUGUGA